GAGAUCUCCGUCGGGCUACCGCUGAUGAGUGCGAGGAGGAUACGCUGCCGACGCUAGCACAAACCGGGGGGAGAGCUCCGCUGCCGUCGAGCUUGAGGAGGAUGUUGCCGCCGUCGAGCUCGAGUUUGAUCAUUGGAUGUUGUUGUUGAGCGUGAGGAGGAGCCGCGAGCGCGAAGCGGGGAGGGCUCCGCCAGGCUGUCGUCGACGGGCGCGAGCUAGACACAGCUGACGAACAUGAGGAGGAGGUGUACAAGCACGCAGCGGCGAGCUCGACACCGACGACUAGCACGCCGGCGAGAUUUGUGGUGGAUGAGCACGGAUUUUCCCCCUACUACUACAUCUGGUUUUGCUAAUUAGCCGAGCAUAGAGCAGCGCUGGAGGCCGGCUACGCCGAGCGUGGAGUCGCAUAGGAGGCUUUCACCGCCGCCAAGCACGGAGCAGCGCUGAAGGAUUCCGUUGCCGCCGAGCACAGAGCUUCCAUGGGGGCCGCUGCCACAGCUCAGUGCGUGGUUGGAGCAUAUGGCUUAAUUAUUUAAGGAAUUAGGCUUAAUCAAUCUGGUAAUUAGGUUCAAUUAAUCUAGCAGUUCGUACCCGAUUAAUGAGACUGCAAUUACUCCGCAAGGACUAACUAACCGGACAACUAGGCAUAACUAACCGGGCAAUUUGUAUCCAAUUAAUCCAGAAAUUAGUACUAACAAUUGAGCAUGUCUUUGAACUCCUAAUUAUCACUUUACUUAGUACUCUGGCAAUUCUUCCUUUAAAUCUGGUAGUUAAGCCUAAUUAAUCUGGCAGUUAAGCCGAAUUAACUGAGUAGUUGAUUUUUCAUGAUCAUUUUUGUAAGACAUGCAUGCUUUGCACUUAUUUGUGAGACAUGCAAGCACUGCCUACUUUUACCAAUAUUUAA